rnacentral:lncRNA from 1 species
AACACUUCCUACAGAGCACGUCUAGAGGCUAUCUUCAUGACAAGGAUUGUUCUGAGGCAUCAUCAUCAGGUCUUCUCAGAUCAUUUUGGACCAUGUGCCUUUCUCUGGACAUUCAUGACUGGCUCAAAACUUCCAUCGUUGUAAACAAGGUGCUACACACCUUCGGGCACAUCCUUCCUCCGCGUAAGAGUUUCUGUAUCCCUACCGUACGGUGAGCUCAUGUGAUGGGAACUCCACACAAGGAGUUAGUCUCAACCCGUGCCCUCGUCUCAAGAACAGAUUCUUCAGGUGAAUUUUUCUCAUUCACAGAAUACCAAAUUCAUAGCAAGGAACUGUGGAGGUGCCAUACACAAAGCAAAUCGUCCAGGUCCCCUGACAUCUGGCUCAGUCACGUCUUUGA